GCCUGGGUGGCUCAGUCGGUUGAGCAUCUGACUUCGGCUCAGGUCAUGAUCUCACAGUCCGUGAGUUCGAGCCCCGCGUCAGGCU
rnacentral:tRNA from 1 species